CAGCAGUCGCCGCGGUAAAACGAAGGGGGCUAGCGUUGUUCGGAUUUACUGGGCGUAAAGCGCACGUAGGCGGAUCGAUCAGUCAGGGGUGAAAUCCCAGAGCUCAACUCUGGAACUGCCUUUGAUACUGUCGAUCUGGAGUAUGGAAGAGGUGAGUGGAAUUCCGAGUGUAGAGGUGAAAUUCGUAGAUAUUCGGAGGAACACCAGUGGCGAAGGCGGCUCACUGGUCCAUUACUGACGCUGAGGUGCGAAAGCGUGGGGAGCAAACAGGAUUAGAUACCCCCGUAGUCCCUGUCUCUUAUAC
rnacentral:rRNA from 1 species